CCGCUGCCGGCCCCCAGCCCGGCCCCCCCACAGUAGAGGUUGAGUCCGAUUACUGCGUUUCUCUUGAGGCCGAACAUCGCAAGCUCCUGCCGCCGCCGCCGCCGCCGCCGCCGCCGCCUCCUGAGUGAGAAAAAUGGGGAUGGCCCCGACUCCUCAGUUGAAGGAAGCGGAAUCACAGAGAGACAGGCAGAGACACAGGCAGAAGCAGGCUCCAUGCACCGGGAGCCCGACGUGGGAUUGGAUCCCGGGUCUCCAGGAUCGCGCCCUGGGUCAAAGGCAGGAGCCAAACCACUGCGCCACCCAGGGAUCCCAGCACUAACCAUUUGAGAUGGAAUAUAUGCUCUAUAGGGGGCGUCAACAAUUUUUUUAAAUAAAGAUUUUAUUUAUUCAUGAGAGACACAGGCAGAGACAUAGGCAGAGGGAGAAACAGGCUCCCUGUGGGGAGCCCGGUGCGGGACUUGAUCCCAGGAUCCCAGGAUCACGCCCUGAGGUGAAGGGCCUACGCCAGCCCCUUGAGCCACCCAGGUGCCCCAACAAUUUAUUUUUGGAAUUGAGAGGCUGGAAAAAUCACUGGGCUAGGAGAGCUAGAGGACCUUAUGGAAGAAGUAGCUUUUUUAGUGAGCUUUCUAGAAUGCAAUUUUUUUUUUCUUGAACGCAAUUUUAUCAGACAAGAGGAGAGAGAUUGAAGAAACAGCAAGUACAAACACUUUUUAAGAGGCUGAAAAAGGAAAUGCAUUGCCAGAAAUCUCAUGUGCUCAGCAUCCCUAUUGCAUUUCUUUGGUCAAUUCACUCUCUUAUGGUCCAAGAUGACUAUUGCAUGACUUCUCUCGUCCCUAAACCUCCAGUGUUCCCUCCUGUCUUCCUCAUUCUCAGCUGUUUAACUUACUUUACUGAGAAAAUGGAAGCAAUCAGAAGAGAAAAACUUCAUUUCUCUCCACCAAAUCUAGUAUGACUCCUUAUAUUCCCAUUCUUUUUGUGUGGUUAAACUAAAUGAACCUUCCCUGCUACCUCAGAUCAGCCUCUUGUGCAUUGGAUCUCACUUCUUUGCCUCGAGUAUUUACAGUUAUCCCUUUACAUUUUUGUUUUUGUCUUUUAAGAUUUUAUUUAUUUUUAGAGACAGUGCAUGUGUGUGAGCAGGGAGAGGGGCAGAGGGAGAAGGAGAGAGAAUCUGAAGCAGAGUUCACGCUGAGUACACAGUCCAACGCAGGGCUUGAUUUCACUACCUUGAGAUCAUGACCUGAGCCAAAACCAAGACUGGACGCCUAACAGACUGAGCCAUCCAGUUGGCGCCCCAUCCCUUUAUAUUCUUGCAUCAGUUUCUCUCUGUUGAAUCAUUCCCACCGGCAUAUAAACCUGAUGUUCUCUCUCACAUCCUCAAGAAGACUUCCCUAGAACCUAAAUUCUUUGAUUCUCUCCUUUAUAGCAAACAUCUUUAAUCUCCUUACCAGCUUUCUCUCUUGAACCCAUCCCAAUCAAGCCUUCAUUCUCACUAUUCCACUGAAAUAAUUCUUGUCAUGUCAUCAAUGAUUUCCACAUGGCCAAAUUCUUGGGGUCAAUUUGCAAUCCUCAUUUUAUUUGACAUCUCACAUUAUUUGAUGUGGUUGAUCAUUCCCUUCUUGGAACUAUUUAUGUGCUUUUUAGGACACCACACUCUCCUGGUUUUCCUUUUUCCACCCUGGCUACUCUUCAGUUUUACUUGUCUCUUCCACUGGCUGUCCACUUGAUGGGGACACUUACUGUGUUUCCCUUUGUAACCGUAGCGGUGCCUAGACAUUCCAUUGUUGAAUGGAUGAAUCUGAAUGUUUACUAAUUUGGGAUAUAUAAGGCUAGAAAAGUGGGACAGGGUGAUAUUAUUGAGGGCUUUGAAAGCCAAAGUUUUGAACUUUGAACAAAGAAAAGUUUAUCUUUUCUAGGCAGCUGGAAUCCACUGAGCACUAGAGUACUGUGAUAUAUGUUCUGAUUUAGGUUCAAUAUUCUAAUUGUGGGUUUUAGAAUGGAUUGAGGGAGAGGAUUGGAAGCAGAAAAAUUAGGAGGUACUACAAUAUGAUAGGCAAGAAUUACAGUGAUCUGUGCUUAGGUGAUGGUAGACUAAUGGAAAGGAUGACACAUAGAGACACUGGAGGCAGAGUCUAAUAGUGCUUAGUGACUAAGAGAAUGACAGAACAGUGUGUGACAUUAUCAUAAUGUAGGCAUCUAUAUUACACAAUAUGAACAGGUAGACCACAUUCCAGACUCCUGUGGACUGCCCUCAUGAACCACUAAACUCACCAGUAAGGGGAAGGGUCUGUUCAGUUUAGAGGCAAGGAGUCAGCAUAUCUUUAGGAUAUCUUGGAGGUCCUGUCCUCAGGGAAUCUGAAUUCACUUAGGACUUCUGAUCCCGAGUAUUGUUCAGUCAGAGUAACCUCUGAAUUUGUGUACACACCCUAUCAAGAAUGGUUCCUGUUCUUUUUCUUUUUUUAUUUAAGAUUUAUUUAUUUAUUCAUGAGAGACAUAGGCAGAGGGAGAAGCAGGCUCCCUGCAGGGAGUCUGAUGUGGGACUGGAUCCCAGGACCCCAGGAUCAUGACCUGAGCCAAAGGCACAUGCUCAACUACUGAGCCACCCAGGCACCCCAAGAAUGGUUCUUGUUCUUAGGAUAACUAUUUUGGCCACAGUCCUGACCCUCAAAAGAAAGGCAUUGUUGACAUCCUGACUGUGCCAAUCUUUUUUUUUUAGGCAUGUAUUAAAUCCUUUGAAACUUCCCCAAUCUGUGAGCACAUUUCCUCCUCAAAAUGUGCCUUUGUUUCAGGGAAUUCAUUUACAUCAUUUCUUUUAAAAUAGAAAAAAAAAAAAAAAACAACUAGGUCUCAGCUUUGGAACUAAGAUGUAUUCUUUUGUUGUUGU